rnacentral:rRNA from 1 species
GAUGAACGCUGGCGGCGUGCCUAAUACAUGCAAGUCGAGCGAACGGACGAGAAGCUUGCUUCUCUGAUGUUAGCGGCGGACGGGUGAGUAAUACGUGGAUAACCUACCUAUAAGACUGGGAUAACUUCGGGAAACCGGAGCUAAUACCGGAUAAUAUUUUGAACCGCAUGGUUCAAAAGUGAAAGACGGUCUUGCUGUCACUUAUAGAUGGAUCCGCGCUGCAUUAGCUAGUUGGUAAGGUAACGGCUUACCAAGGCAACGAUGCAUAGCCGACCUGAGAGGGUGGUCGGCCACACUGGAACUGAGACACGGUCCAGACUCCUACGGGAGGCAGCAGUAGAGAAUCUUCCGCAAUGGGCGAAAGCCUGACGGAGCAACGCCGCGUGAGUGAUGAAGGUCUUCGGAUCGUAAAACUCUGUUAUUAGGAAAGAACAUAUGUGUAAGUAACUGUGCACAUCUUGACGGUACCUAAUCAGAAAGCCACGGCUAACUACGUG